GUCAGUGUAUCUGAGAGGGUGAGGCGAACAGUGCAUACAAUGUCAGUCAAUUAAGAUCAAAGUGCAGCUGAAACAUGGCAAUUUUAAGCAACAGCGAGAGCAUCGACCGGGACAGUUCUGCUGUGGAUAUUGGAUGAUGUUUUUUCAUCGUAUGAAGGAACACGCUUCUAAAAGUGGACGCAACGACAUAAAAGUUCUACUUCUGGAGCUGUACUUCUGGAUUUGUCGAAACUAGUCUGAAGUCUUGUAGAUAUUUGACGGUAAAACUUUUAACUUUGUCGCCCGGUGUGCUUAUAUAGUUUGUCCGCGUUUGUUACGACACACGUACGGCAGGCUUCGUGUAAUCUGAACGAAUCCUGAAUGGUUCGAGUUAUACACACUGGUGUAACCCUGGGUUAAUUAAACUAAUGGACGAUGGCACAUCUUGUUUUGAUGUGGUAUUUUGUAUUUGCCAUUUUUCCUGGGUGUCUCGGGGCCACUUUUAACGCACACAUUUCCCACAUGACAUUGCCAGGAACGCCGAUAUUCAACUCGAGUCUCCCUAGCAGCGGGCAGCGUUGGCUUUACGGCAUAUCCCCCGUUUCAAAGUCAAAGCAAGCGAGUCACCUUGUUAGAAUCAACGAAAACACUGGAGUCCUGACUCUGCACAGAGACAUCAACUGCACAGCUUUGAACGAAAAUCCAUUCUUUUUGUACAUUGAAGCGAGGACAAGCAGGAUUAGUUCGUCGGCUCUGGACAAUGGCCCAUCAGACAUUUAUGUCCAGGUACCGGUUGCGGUUCACAUCCACGGUGGACAUUGUAAACUGAAACAUGCCAAAAAGGAAUAUCGCAAAGAUCAUUUCAAAGGACGAGAUCAUGCCAGUCACAAACCAGUUCCAGAUUAUGAUAAGCAGUUUAUUGUAAUGGACUACCCCACUGGCCCAUGCUGGAAUUCACAGGAAGUAAUACUCUCAAUGAACGACUUCCUGCCGAGUUCUGCUUCUCACUGUCGGGUGAAUUACACUCUGAACAAACAUAAGUCAGAGCAUAUGUUGUCGAUGAAUCAAAACACUGGGGAUGUUAUUUCUCCAGAGACUUCCUUAUGCAUGCACAGGCCAGACGACAAACAUUUAUCAGUUUUGGUAGAGUUUGCACCACUGUGCAUGCAUUACUACCACCAUCUACACCAUAAUCCUGUCGUUGGAGUACGGAUUCAUGUACAACUUGAUCUUCGAGUUGUUGGAACAAGCUUGUUUCCCAGAGUUGCGGCUGCAGAAGUCCCUGAGCCUGACAUUAGUGCCACAAAAGCUCAACAACAGGCANCGCCGUAAUCGCAGUCCAAACUUCCCUCAAGGAAUGUACAUUGCCAAUAUUCCCGAGGAGCAACCAGUUGGAUAUAUCGUCAUGACUAUCACUGCCUCGGACACUGAUAGUGGGGAGGCAGGCCGGCUGACUUAUUCAAUGCUUGCAGAGCGUGAUGCCAGAAGUCAGAACAUGUUCAGUAUCGACCCAGAUAGUGGUAUCAUCACAACAACUCAAAGGCUUGAUAGGGAAAGUAUCGAAGAACAUUUAUUUGAGGUCACUGCCACCGACCAUGGAUCACCACAGCGGUCUACGUCAGCUUUUCUGCAGAUUAUGGUGGAAGAUUUGAAUGACCACCGGCCUGAGUUUGAACUGACCGAGUACCACAUCGAAAUUGGGGAAAAUGAGCCUGCAGGUACAACCUUGUAUGAGUUACAUGCAAGUGAUGGUGAUUCUAAUUUUAAUGCAGUGGUUCGUUAUAGCAUCAUUAACCCAGAACCUCCUAAUGAUGCAUUCCAUAUCAACUCGCGUUCAGGAAUCAUUACCACCCGUGCAAGGCUGGACCGGGAGGUCGUCUCCAGCUAUGAAUUGAUUGUCCUGGCCCAAGAUCUUGGAACAAAUCCUGGUCCGCUGAACACAACUGCCCGAGUUUUAAUCACUGUCUUGGAUGAGAAUGACAACUACCCACAGUUCUCAAAGCGCACCUUUGAGGUCACCAUUCCUGAAGAUUCCCCUCGAAAUGUCAUUAUUGAGACCAUAACAGCCACAGACAGGGACGCUGGAUCUAAUGCUGACAUUCGUUACAGUAUGGUCGGAGGACAAGGUCACUUUGUGAUUGACCCAUACAAUGGAGAAAUUCUGCUGACUUCAGCUCUUGAUUACGAGAAUACACCAUCUUACCAGUUGGUCGUGCAUGCUCAGGACAGUGGACGCUCAGCGCGAUCCAAUUCAACAUGUGUCAUAGUGAAUAUUUUAGAUGUCAAUGACAACUCCCCACGCUUCCCAACGACCCUGUAUCAAACAUCGAUUAGAGAAGAUGCUCGCAUUGAUUCAUCUGUUAUCACUCUGAAUGCCUUUGAUGGUGACUCAGGCGAGUUUGCACGCAUUACCUACAGCAUUCAAGAUCCUGAUACUGCACUUCCAUUCACUAUCAAUACAGACACAGGGCAGAUAACAACAUCCUCAUUGCUUGACAGAGAAACGUCCCCACUGUAUGAGUUUACCGUUGUUGCGAGUGAUCAAGGUGACCCGCCAAAAACAGCAACAACUGAGGUAUCUGUGCGCAUUACUGAUGUCAAUGACAAUCCCCCAGUUUUUACUCAGAGUGAGUAUUACGGUCGUGUUGAUGAGGAUGCUUCUCCAGGAUUGACUGUGGUGACUGUCUCUGCUUAUGAUCCUGAUGUAGGAAACAGUGUUUCAUACCAAAUUACAGCUGGCAACACAAGGAACCGUUUCAAUAUCAUCAGCCAGAAUAAUCGUGGAAUGAUUACGGUCGCCCUACCCUUAGACUACAAGCAGGAACCACACUUUGUGCUGACAGUAACUGCAUCAAAUAAUGAACAAUCGAGCAUGUGUCUGGUGUACAUAAAUGUCACUGAUGCCAACACCUAUAGACUAGUAUUUGAUCAGUCACCAUAUAGAGCAGAAGUAGCUGAAAAUGUUGCUGUUGGGUACGUUGUUGUCCAAGUUCAUGCUACGGAUGGUGAUGUUGGUGAGAAUGCGCGUAUCACAUACUCUAUGGAUAGCAUACCAAGCUUUGAAAUUGACCCAGACAGUGGCGAGAUCAAAACCCGAACCGAACUGGACCGUGAGACUACAUCAAGUUACACCAUUCAUGUGACGGCAUCAGAUCAUGGAUUAGAGCCACAGAUAGACACGACUGAAGUGGAAAUCUUCCUCACAGAUAUCAAUGACAACCCCCCAGUCUUCACAGAGAGUGCUUACUCCACUGAGAUUAGUGAGAGUGUAAGUCCCCAGUCCCUGGUCAUACAGAUUGAAGCUGAAGAUGCCGAUGAAGGUACUAACAGUCAGAUUUCCUACACGUUCAAUAAUGGUAAUGAUGGCAAUGGAGCUUUUGUCAUUGAUGAAACCUCAGGCAUCAUCCGUACAGCAGUCUGUCUCGAUCGCGAGGCCAAAGCAGAGUACAACUUAGUUGCCUUUGCUGUGGACGGGGGCCGUCCCACUCACCGCGAAACUGUGCAGAUCACUGUCAGGCUGCGUGAUGAGAAUGACAACCCACCUGAGUUUCUUCAGGAGGAGAUGGAUGUGUACAUCGCAGAGAACCGUAACCCUGGUGAACUGGUCUCCACCAUCAUUGCGAAUGACCCGGAUGAGGGCUACAACGCAAUCAUCCAUUACUCCCUGAUUGCAGGUGACCUGGACUUCUUUGAGAUUGACAGUCGAUCAGGGGAACUGACAACCCUGAUUGAGCUGGACUAUGAAGCCAGGAAUGAGUACCAAGUAACCGUCAAGGCCACUUCAACACCCUUCUUCAGGUUGGCUACAGUCAACAUCCAUGUUGAGGACCAGAACGACAACAGUCCCAUCCUAGAAGACUUUGAAAUCUUCUUCAACUACUAUGAGGGAUUCUUCCCAGAAGGUGACAUUGGACAGGUUCCUGCUCAUGACCAGGAUGUGUCAGACACCCUCCAGUACCUGAUCAUGAGGGGGAAUGCAAAUAACCACCUAAUCCUGAAUGGCACCACAGGGGGCAUCAGACUCAAUCCCAGUCUGAGGAAUAUUGAUAUCCCACAGAGAAUGGAGAUGUGGAUACAAGUAUCAGAUGGCCUGAAUGUUGUGUCGGCACAGUGCACCUUCCGUCUAACAAUGGUCACUGAUAACAUGCUAAUGAGCAGUAUCACUGUCCAGCUGGAGGACACAAACUCCCAGGAAUUCCUCUCUGCAAAGAUCAAUCGUUUCAUCGAUGCCCUAUCCAACAUCAUCCCCACACAACGCAACCUGGUGUAUGUUUUCAGCAUCAAGAACCAUGACAUUGUGAGUGACCCACCCAUCCUUGAUGUCUCCUUUGCUGCCCAGCACCAAGACGGCACCUUCUUCACUUCCCAGUACCUCCAGGAGCGAGUCUACCUGAUGCGGUCUAUCCUCUCCGAAGUUUCCUUGGUGAAGGUGUUGCCCUUUGGUGACAACCUCUGCCUUUACGAGGUCUGCAGUAGUGAGAACAUGCACUACCGGUGUCUCUCCCCGCUCUCCUUCUGGAGUUCAUCGGGCUUCAUUGCGACCCAGACCGUCAUCUUUCGUUCUAUCCAUCCAGAGACUCUCUACAGGUGUGAGUGCCCACCAGGAUUCACAGGCAACUAUUGCACAACAGAGAUCAACUAUUGCUACUCUAAUCCUUGUGGUAGCAAUGGGCAGUGCAUUCAGAAAGAAGCUGGAUAUACCUGCGUGUGCAAUGAUAACUUUGCAGGUCCAAACUGUGAGAUCGACUUCAAGAAUGGUCGAUGUACCGACAACCUGUGUAAGAACGGCGGCCUGUGUAGGAAUUUUCUACGUGGGGGUUUUGAGUGUGUCUGUCCAGGAGAGGAUUAUGACGGGGAUCUGUGCGAGAUUCGGACAAGAAACUUCCCCGAAAACUCCUUCCUGAUGUUCCGGUCAUUAAAUAGGAGGGUCCGGUUCCAGAUGUCACUAAGUUUUGCCACCAAGGUGGAUAACGGUCUUCUGUUCUACAACGGCCGCUAUAACCAGAAGCAUGAUUUCAUCGCGCUGGAGAUAGUCAACAGGCAGGUGCGAUUCCUGUUCUCGGCGGGCGAGGUGACCAGUGUAGUGACCACAUCUAUCCUUGGUGGCGUUAGCAAUGGGGAAUGGCAUAAAGUCGUCGUGGAUUACCAUGAACGGAUAUGAUCGCGUGUGAUGGUGAAUAUUGUGUUGGACGAUAUUUUCACACUGAACGCUUUGGUUUAUCGAUGUAUCCAGCUGGCAUUUGGUACUGUGAUCAUUGUAAAGGAUCAUCAGCUUCAACAUCAGAGAAAGAUAGUGAAGGACCAUCAACAUCUUUUACAGGGGGAGGUGA
rnacentral:misc_RNA from 1 species